rnacentral:tRNA from 1 species
UGGCUCAGUAGGUAAAGUGCUUGCUUUGCAAGCAUGAGGGCCUGAGUUCAAUCCCCAG